rnacentral:rRNA from 1 species
CAGUCGCCGCGGUAACACGGAGGGAGCUAGCGUUGUUCGGAAUUACUGGGCGUAAAGCGCGCGUAGGCGGUUACUCAAGUCAGAGGUGAAAGCCCGGGGCUCAACCCCGGAACUGCCUUUGAAACUAGGUGACUAGAAUCUUGGAGAGGUCAGUGGAAUUCCGAGUGUAGAGGUGAAAUUCGUAGAUAUUCGGAAGAACACCAGUGGCGAAGGCGACUGACUGGACAAGUAUUGACGCUGAGGUGCGAAAGCGUGGGGAGCAAACAGGAUUAGAUACCCGAGUAGUCCCUGUCUCUUAUAC